GACGAACGCUGGCGGCGUGCUUAACACAUGCAAGUCGAACGGUAAGGCCCUUCGGGGUACACGAGUGGCGAACGGGUGAGUAACACGUGGGUGAUCUGCCCUGCACUUCGGGAUAAGCCUGGGAAACUGGGUCUAAUACCGGAUAGGACCACUGCCUGCAUGGGUGGUGGUGGGAAGCUUUUGCGGUGUGGGAUGGGCCCGCGGCCUAUCAGCUUGUUGGGGGGGUGAUGGCCUACCAAGGCGACGACGGGUAGCCGGCCUGAGAGGGUGACCGGCCACACUGGGACCGAGAUACGGCCCAGACUCCUACGGGAGGCAGCAGUGGGGAAUAUUGCACAAUGGGCGCAAGCCUGAUGCAGCGACGCCGCGUGAGGGAUGACGGCCUUCGGGUUGUAAACCUCUUUCAGCACCGACGAAGCGCAAGUGACGGUAGGUGCAGAAGAAGGACCGGCCAACUACGUGCCAGCCGCCGCAGUAA
rnacentral:rRNA from 1 species